UUCAUAGGAAACCUACUGUGUUCUUCAAAUUCAUCCGAUGUGAACUUGUGCAACUAUACAACAGUCUAUUCAUGCCAGGCUAAUCUAGGAAUUAGCUGUAAUGGCUUCCCUUUGGAUAUUAGAUCAAUUGGUUUGGUUGGUGGAUCAAGUGCACGUGAUGGUCGUGUAGAAUUGCGAAUUGAAAAUACUGCUGGCACAAUCUGCCAAGAUAAUUUCGUUUUGAAGGAUGCGCAAGUGAUCUGCAAAAUGAUCGGAUUUAAUGCCGCUUCUUUAUUCUACGCUGACUAUAAUUACAACACCACCGAGCGCCUUCCUAUGAUCAGAGACAUUCAGUGCUCGGGACAGGAAAGUCACAUAAAUAAUUGUACAUAUAUAACUCCAUACAACGGCUACAAAUGUGUCGAUGGUGCAGUAGCUCUUGUUUGUACAGAAUGUGGUCCAGUUAAUGUUUCAAAUGGACAAAUAACGUCAUACAAUGACACGUCGAGGACUUUAACAAUUCGAUGUCAUACUGGUGACCCAGCCUAUGUUCAAUACAUAUGUGGAAACAACGGAAUAUGGAAUAAAACUGCAGAAUGUAUUCCAGUUAAUGUCCAAGACACACGCUUAGUUUAUCAAGCGUUAUAUCCAUAUCGAGGCAGAGUAGAGCUAAAAAUCAACGGCACAUGGGGGACCAUCUGUGACAGCUUGUUUGGCAUUAAAGAAGCAAUGGUCUUGUGUCGAAUGUUCAAUGCUAGUUACUUGUCAUACACGCCCAAUGGAGGUUAUGGUCGAGGUUCUGGUCCUGUCCACAUGGCUAACCUACAAUGCUCGGGUUCUGAAACGGACGUAGGCAGCUGUUCGUUUAACUCGAAACACAAUUGCUCGCAUUCGAACGAUGUUGGAAUUCAAUGUACAUUUUCCAGCCUCAAUGUCACCUGAUAUAAGAUUGUCUGGUGGGACAAGCAGGUUCGAUGGCAGGGUUGAACUUUUUGCAAAAGGAAUUUGGGGCUCGGUUUGUGCCUGGAAUUUCUCUCCAGCAUAUGGCGAGAUGCUUUGUCGAAUGAUGAAUUUAACAUAUAUUAAUCAUUAUUGUUGCUCACGGAACGGAGAUGGGGCGAUACUUCUGCGUAUAACAAGUUGCCCAAAUACAUCAAAUCAUAUCAACAAUUGUGUAUAUACACCGCUACCAUCGAAUUGGCCUUGUCAGCCUUCGAACACGACGUCAUUGGUCUGCUCAGAAUGCCCCGCUCUGCUUGUCUCUGGUGGAUCUUUGGCAUACAACACAAAUGGCACGAUUGCCACACUGACAUGCAAUGCUGGAUUCAUUUCAAAUAUUAUCACAUUCGUUUGCAAGGAGGGCCAGUGGUCACAACAGACAGCAAUCUGCCAUCUUUACCCACCGCUAAAUGUAACGGGAGUACGCCUUGUUAAUGGACCAAGCCUUAACGUAGGCAGAGCCGAAAUAGCCGUGGAGGGCACGUAUGGAACCAUUUGCGACAGCAAUUUUGACUAUGCCAACGCUGAAGUUUUAUG